rnacentral:tRNA from 1 species
GAAGAUAUAGCUCUGUGAUGAAGUGCAUGCCUAACAUUCAUGAGGUCCUGGGUUCAAUCCCCUAGUACCUCCA